GACGAACGCUGGCGGCGUGCUUAACACAUGCAAGUCGAACGGAAAGGCCCUGCUUUUGUGGGGUGCUCGAGUGGCGAACGGGUGAGUAACACGUGAGUAACCUGCCCUUGACUUUGGGAUAACUUCAGGAAACUGGGGCUAAUACCGGAUAGGAGCUCCUGCUGCAUGUUUGGUGUCGGAAAGUUUCGGCGGUUGGGGAUGGACUCGCGGCUUAUCAUCUUGUUGGUGGGGUAGUGGCUUACCAAGGCUUUGACGGGUAGCCGGCCUGAGAGGGUGACCGGCCACAUUGGGACUGAGAUACGGCCCAGAAUCCAACGGGAGGAAGGAGUGGGGAAUAUUGCACAAUGGGCGGAAGCCGGAUGCAGCAACGCCGCGUGCGGGAUGACGGCCUUCGGGUUGUAAAACGCUUUCGCCUGUGACGAAGCGUGAGUGACGGUAAUGGGUAAAGAAGCACCGGCUAACUACGUG
rnacentral:rRNA from 1 species